rnacentral:misc_RNA from 1 species
AAGUCGUAACAAGGUUUCCGUAGGUGAACCUGCGGAAGGAUCAUUAGUGAAUCUUCAAAGUCGGCUUGUCAACUGUGCUGGUGUGGAGACACACAUGUGCACGUUGCAAGUUGCAAAUCCACACACCUGUGCAUCUAUGACUCUGAGUGCCGCUUUGCAUGGCCUUGACCUGGCCUGGUGCUCGAGUACUUUCACACACUCUUGAAUGUAAUGGAAUGUCUAUUGUGCAUAAUGUGCAAAUGAAACAACUUUCAACAACGGAUCUCUUGGCUCUC